AUACGAACCAUCGCGCCCGACGUGCGUCAAGUCACACAGGUUCAGACAGGCGCAUACCGGAACACAGGCUCCAAAAUAAAAGUAGUCUAGAAGAAGACAAAGCAGUUUUGACUGUGAUUUAUAUCCACAUUUACUUGCUUCCACUAUAAUUAUUUCCGUACAUUCAUUUCUACACUUACCUAUUUUCAUUAAUUGUUACAUUGCCUAUUCAUUUCCACAAAAAUAAUAGUAGGCCUGGUACAUGAGACAGACAAUCUGUCAAUCAGGUUCCUCUGGCUCCUCCUAGUGCUCCUGAUGGUAUUGGCAAGAAUCCACCGGGCCUGAAUGAAAACAACCAAUCAGAGUCCAGAACGAUAGUUGAUUGAUGAGUUUCAUUCUCAGGUCGUCAAAUGCCCAUACUUUGGGUCAAAUACUGAAACUUUGGAUCCUUAAGCAUCUGUAUUUGACGAGCUGCGAACGAGAACAAGAAAGAGGUGCUGCUGUUUGGACCAAUAAAGGAAAAUCUUAAUGCUACAACCCAAAUGGAAGAACUUGACUAGCCUGUGCAGAGUCCUGACCUCAACCCCAUCCAACACCUUUGGGAUUAACUGUGACAUGCACUGUGAACCAGGCCUCGUCACCAAACAUCAGUGGACCUCACUAAUGCCCCCGUAGCCGGGUUCCAACACCUAAAACCAGAAGAGUGAAGACCUUUGUAGCAGCAUGGGUUUAGUGUAUAAUGUGCAAACAUAAGCCAACAAGUGCUUUUUUCCCCAUCACAAUUUUAUUAUGUGACUUUGUACAAUAAAAACGAGACAUUACAAAAUACAGAUGCAGUACACCAACAGUGCUAAAUGUGAUGUAAAGAAAGCCAGCUUGGUGCAGUUAUUGAGUUGACCGCUGUUUGACUGAAGCAUCUCAGCUCCAUCUUUCUCAUCCACCAACAUCCAACAGAAGCUUCCCACACCCUGCCCCUGGAAAGACUUGAUUCUGUUGGAAAACAAAUCUGCACAAGAAGUUCAAAUGUGUUCAUGUAAAAGCACUUCAAGAGCAGUUUCUUUACGUUGUUACACUCAGCAUGAGUGAAGUCAGGAAUAUAUGUUUGGCUUCCAAGAGCAGGGCUGGAAAACACCGGCUAUGAUAUUGAAAACAAAAUGAACACCAUUUCUACGCCAGGGCCAAUACAAAAGGAAAAAAACAAGGAAAAAAAUAUAAGAAUGUUACAAAUGAUUGAAGUAAAACACUGCAGUUUGUGGUUAUACAAUUUACAUUACAGGAGAUGGAAGAGCAUAACAUCUUGGGAGGAAAUUAAAUGUGAUACCUAAAAUAAGUGAACCGAAAGAUACAUAUAUAUUUAAAAAAAAAAAAACAGUGCCUGAGGUGAGCCUCAGCCUGACGCCAAUGUGCAGGAAGUAAAAGGCCGACCACUUUGUUUGGUUUUUUGGCAUUAAAAAGGAUACAGCACAGAGCGGUGCAGCAUCCAACAUUCCCAAAGUACAAGUAACUCUUGCCCUCCAGUUUGUCAUGAUUGAAGAACACCACUUAUGUUUUCCAUGCGAAUACACUUGUUUUUGUGAGCAGUGGGCUGGAACAGGACUGUACACUGAAUCAAUACAAAGUUAAUAACAGCUCUUUAAGGAGGAAUAUGAGGAUGAGCAGGAGAGAGUGAUUGGUUAAAUUCAGAGUCCAGACAGUACUGCCCUCUGGCUUUCACUUGAUUAUUACA